GACGAACGCUGGCGGCGUGCCUAAUACAUGCAAGUCGAGCGAACAGACGCGGCGCUUGCUGCUUUGACGUUAGGGGCGGGCGGGAGUGUAACACGUGGAUACCCUCCCUAUCUUACUGGUAUAACUUCGGGACAGGGGCGCUAAUACCGGAGGAUAUAUUGAUCCGCGUGGUGCAAUAGAGAAUGUCGGCUUUUGUGGCACUUAUCGCUGGAUCCGCGCCGCAUUAGCUAGUUGGGAAGGUACCGGCUUACCAAGGCUACGAUGCGUAGGCGACCUGAGAGGGUGAUAGGCCACACUGGAGCUGGGACACGGUCCAGACUCCUGCGGGAGGCAGCAGUAGGGAAUCGUACGCAACAGGCGGAAGCCUGACGGAGCGGCGCCGCGUGAGUGAUGAAGGUCUUCGGAUCGUAAAAAUCUGUUAUUAGGGAAAAACAACUGUGUAAGUAACUAAGCACGGCGUGACGGUACCGGGUCAGAAAGCCACGGCUAACUACGUG
rnacentral:rRNA from 1 species